GGGGUUAUAGCUCAGUUGGUAGAGUGCUUGCCUCGAAUGCCAAGGCCCUGGGUUCAAUACCCAGCAAACACA
rnacentral:tRNA from 1 species